rnacentral:rRNA from 1 species
CGCAGCCGCGGUAAUUCCAGCUCCAAUAGCGUAUAUUAAAGUUGUUGCAGUUAAAAAGCUCGUAGUUGAAUUUCGGGAUCAGUAGGUCGGUCAUGCCUCAGGUAUGUACUGGUCUCACUGGUUCCUCCUUCCUGAUGAACCGUAAUGCCAUUAAUUCGGUGUUGCGGGGAAACUGGACUGUUACUUUGAAAAAUUAGAGUGUUUAAAGCAGGCUAACGCUUGAAUACAUUAGCAUGGAAUAAUGAAAUAGGACGUUCGAUCCUAUUUUGUUGGUUUCUAGGAUUGACGUAAUGAUUAAUAGGGAUAGUUGGGGGCAUUAGUAUUCAAUUGUCAGAGGUGAAAUUCUUGGAUUUAUUGAAGACUAACUACUGCGAAAGCAUUUGCCAAGGAUGUUUUCAUUAAUCAAGAACGAAAGUUAGGGGAUCGAAGACGAUCAGAUACCGUCGUAGU